CGAUGAACACACUUGACACCCAUACGACCCUUUUGUCUUCUCUAUGCUAUUGCAGUCGAUAUUGGGUGACAAGAGGAUUGGUUUACUUGUUUUCUCGCUAUGGAUGAAGAAUGGGAUGGCUGCAAUUGGACAGUCCGUUACACCCAAGGCCUUCCAUGUUCAACAUCCAUCUCUCUAGCUAGAUGAUUUAGAAGAUAUGCUGACUGAAGCUAUGCUUUCUCUCAACACUAUGACAGAGGAUGGCAACAUCGAGGAGCUCUGGAGUUUCAGUAGAUAUCAAUGUUUCAUACUUGAAUUCUGCUUACCCUGGUGAGGAGGUUGACGUUGAGGCCAAGGAUUUAUGAGUUGGGAAGGCUGUUGGUGUUGCCAGUGUUGAGUUAAGGAAGAAGAAGACAUGCAAAAUUAUAGCUUAGGGCUGUCAUACCAAGUAUCUUGCUCUCACUAACAAACUUUGAACAGCUUGGAAGUUGAAAUUUUCCUCAGACUUGUAUGGAAUAUUGAGAAGCCUUUUUUACUUAGACUUGUAUAGAAUAUUGAGAAGCCUUUUGGUGUUGUCAGUGUUGAAUUUAGGAAGAAGAAAACAGGGGAAACAUUGUUGUCAACUGGCACUUCUCUCUACACUCAAUAAAGUGUGAACUUUGAACCAACAAUUCAGUGUUCCCAUUUACAAAUUUUGCUCAUGCUUAUAGUUCGAAGAGUUUCACAUGCAAACAAUGCUCAAUAGCAUCUCUCCUCAGACUGAUACUAAUUUGAAAAAGUUGCCAAAAACCACAAGAUUCAAUUGCUUAACUUAUAGAUCGUAACAUGAUACAACUGAUUCAUGAAAUCACGACUAUAAAAAAACCACAAGACUCAAUAGCAUCUCUUCUCAUUUGACAGUUGCAUAUCACCAUGACUGCCACAUUGAGACUUUGUGCCUUCUUCAAAUACAGGUGCAUAACCCUGAUUUUACAUGAUAUUAGAUUUGUUUGG